UAAGGAAUAUUGGUCAAUGGACGCAAGUCUGAACCAGCCAUGCCGCGUGCAGGAUGACGGCCCUCUGGGUUGUAAACUGCUUUUAUAGGGGACGAAAAAAGGGCUUUCUAGCUCGUCUGACGGUACCCUAGGAAUAAGCACCGGCUAACUCCGUGCCAGCAGCCGCGGUAAUACGGAGGGUGCAAGCGUUAUCCGGAUUUACUGGGUUUAAAGGGUGCGUAGGUGGGUCGGUAAGUCAGCGGUGAAAUCUUCGAGCUUAACUCGGAAACUGCCAUUGAUACUAUCGAUCUUGAAUCAUCUAGAGGUAAGCGGAAUAUGUCAUGUAGCGGUGAAAUGCUUAGAUAUGACAUAGAACACCAAUUGCGAAGGCAGCUUACUAUGGAUGUAUUGACACUGAGGCACGAAAGCGUGGGGAUCAAACA
rnacentral:rRNA from 1 species